GACGAACGCUGGCGGCGUGCUUAACACAUGCAAGUCGAGCGGGGCGGCGAACGGGUGAGUAACGCGUGAGUAACUGCCCCCCUCUCUGGGAUAACAGUUGGAAACGGCUGCUAAUACCGGAUAGUGGGGGAUGGCUCGCGUCCUAUCAGCUUGUUGGUGGGGUAGUGGCCUACCAAGGCGACGCCUGGUAGCCGGCCUGAGAGGGGGACCGGCCACAUUGGGCUACGGUACGGACCAAACUCCGACGGGAGGCAGCAGGGGGGAAUAUUGCACAGUGGGGGAAACCCUGAUGCAGAAACGCCGCGUGCGGAAUGACGGCCUGCGGGUUGUAAACCGCUUUCAGCCAUGACGCGGUAGUGGCAGAAGAAGCACCGGCUAACUACGUGCCAGCAGCCGCGGUAAUUC
rnacentral:rRNA from 1 species